GAUGAACGCUGGCGGCGUGCCUAAUACAUGCAAGUCGAGCGAACAGACGAUGAGCUUGCUCCUCUGACGUUAGCGGCGGACGGGUGAGUAACACGUGGAUAACCUACCUAUAAGACUGGGAUAACUUCGGGAAACCGGAGCUAAUCCCGGAUAAUAUAUUGAACCGCAUGGUUCAAUAGUGAAAGUCGGUUUUGCUGUCACUUAUAGAUGGAUCCGCGCCGCAUUAGCUAGUUGGUAAGGUAACGGCUUACCAAGGCAACGAUGCGUAGCCGACCUGAGAGGGUGAUCGGCCACACUGGAACUGAGACACGGUCCAGACUCCUACGGGAGGCAGCAGUAGGGAAUCUUCCGCAAUGGGCGAAAGCCUGACGGAGCAACGCCGCGUGAGUGAUGAAGGUCUUCGGAUCGUAAAACUCUGUUAUUAGGGAAGAACAAAUGUGUAAGUAACUAUGCACGUCUUGACGGUACCUAAUCAGAAAGCCACGGCUAACUACGUG
rnacentral:rRNA from 1 species